AUUCCAGCUCCAAUAGCGUAUAUUAAAGUUGUUGCAGUUAAAAAGCUCGUAGUUGGAUUUUGGGUUCCAGUUUCGUUCGGUCUACUAAUUGUAGUACUGUCGAGCUGGCCCUUCUUCUCGGGGCCUAUAGGUGCACUUCACCGUGUGUUUAUAGUGUUCGGGACUUUUACCGUGAGAAAAUUAGAGUGUUCAAAGCAGGCUUUUGCUUGAAUAUUGCAGCAUGGAAUAAUGGAAUAGGAUCAUGAUCUUAUUUUGUUGGUUUCUAAGAUCAAGAUAAUGAUUAAUAGGGAUAGUUGGGGGCAUUAAUAUUUAGUUGUCAGAGGUGAAAUUCUUAGAUUUACAAAAGAUUAACUUCUGCGAAAGCAUUUGCCAAGGAUGUUUUCAUUA
rnacentral:rRNA from 1 species